rnacentral:rRNA from 1 species
CCAAUAGCGUAUAUUAAAGUUGUUGCAGUUAAAAAGCUCGUAGUUGAAUUUCGGGAUCAUCAGGUUGGUCGUGCCUCUGGUAUGUACUGAUUUCGAUGGUUCCUCCUUCUUGAAGAUCCGUAAUGCCAUUAAUUUGGUGUUGCGGGGAAUCAGGACUGUUACUUUGAAAAAAUUAGAGUGUUUAAAGCAGGCAAUCGCUUGAAUACAUUAGCAUGGAAUAAUGAUAUAGGACGUUCGAUCCUAUUUUGUUGGUUUCUAGGAUUGACGUAAUGAUUAAUAGGGAUAGUUGGGGGCAUUAGUAUUCAAUUGUCAGAGGUGAAAUUCUUGGAUUUAUUGAAGACUAACUACUGCGAAAGCAUUUGCCGAGGAUGUUUUCAUUAAUCAAGAACGAAAGUUAGGGGAUCGAAGACGAUCGGAUACCGUCGUAGUCUUAACCAUAAACUAUGCCGACUAGGGAUCGGAUGAUGUUAAUUUUUUAAUGACUCAUUCGGCGCCUUACG